UUUUGCUUAGUAAUCUAAGAUUUUUUUUUUUUUUUUUUGAGACGGAGUCUCUCUCUUGUUGCCCAGGCUGAAGUGCACUGGCGCAAUCUCGGCUCACUGCAAUCUCUGCCUCCCAGGUUCAAGCAAUUCUCCUGCCUCAGCCUCCCGAGUAGCUGGGAUUUCAGACAUGCACCACCACGCCAGGAUAAUGAAAAAUAAAACCAAGAUUCUCUUCUUUGCUGAUGAAGUCAGGAAGGUGGAAAGGGCAAAGCAAGAACUCUCACUCUUACCCUAUGAGUAAUUUCAAUAGAAAUCAAAGGCGUUAACUUCUCGGGUCCUCAAUUUUUUCUUCUCUAAAAAGAAAGAAUUGUUUAAUAAAACUCAUCCAAGGCUACAAUCAUCAAUGGCAGCUAAAACCACUUAGUGAAAGAAUUUUUUUUUUAAUAAAAAAAGGACAUUGGAUGAUGUCUCAACUCCCAAGCACUUGAUGUUUGACUUGGGAGUGGUGCCCUCAGUCACACCUAAAACUAUCUGCGGCAGACCCUGUUCUUUUUGGCUGACACAAAUGCCAUUCCCAACCUCCUUCUCCUCCUGUCUUGUCUCAAUCGUAGAGUCUAGAAGAGCAAACAUUCACUUUGCAGCCUCCCUUGUACCAAGGAGUGGCCAUGAGACAAUUCUGCCCAAUGAAUCAGAAGAGGAAUUGUGUUGAGGAUUUCUGGAAAGACUACUUCUUUUCCCAAGAAAAAGUGACAGACGCAGUAGGGGCUGAGCAACUUCCGUGCCUCUUCCAGCCUUACGGAUGUGCUGUUGGUAGCUGUGACUGCCUUGCUACUACGAGGAAAAGGAAGGCCAAGAGAAUAGCAGAGACACUCGCUCUGAUGCCUUUGAGCCAAUGAAUCAAUGCCAGAAGCAGCUGACCUCCAGAGUUCUUGUUACAGGAUUAAAAUAAAUCUCUACUUAUUUGCCAUUGUCACUUUGGUUUGUUUGUUUGUUUACUUGUUGCCAAGCACAUUCCUAACUGAUACACUGUUCACCAGAUUCCCUGGGAUUAGACAAUCAAACAUCUUUCUGUAACCAAGAAUGCAAAAGCUCCUCAACUGGAAAAUACUCAUGUGAAAGUUUAAAGGAAAAGCACAGGGAGUGAAAUAAAAUGCUUUCUUCUCCUGCCCACGGAAUCCAUUUAUUUCAUGUAGCUGUAAAAUCAGCCCUUU
rnacentral:lncRNA from 1 species